CUCACUCCUUCUCCCCUUCCAUUAACAUCGAGAUUCAUUUUUAUUUCUCUUAUAAACAGAAGAUCAGUUUAGUAUAUAUUAAGUAAAGAUUUCGUUUUCAGCUUUGAGGGCCACAAUGCCUUGGAGCCAGCUGCUCACCUCUGCCACUGCAGCAGGAAAGCCACCGUGGCAACAGACAAGAUCGCUGAACUGCAGAGACCACUAGCCAUGUUGCAGCCAAGUUAAAACAGGCAGACCGCAAAGCAGCAGCACGAACACCGAAAGACCGACACACGGUGCCUGACAGAGAGCAGCGCCUGUCUUUGCAGAGAACUGCGCGCGACAUAUGCUCCUUCUUCCUAAACUCGAAAUGCAGCAGAUUGGGCCAGGUUCCCUACUGGGCCCUCCCCAACUCGCCCAGCUUUGAUUUACAAGAUGAUGCUGAUUAGCCUGUGACCUCUCAGCUUGGCCAAAGAGGACAUCAGUGCACAACUCCAGGGAAGCCCAGAGCUGAAGGUCCAGAACAGCCAGGUCAAUGAGGAAAGCUCCUUAAGACUAAGAGUCAGUGCUGGUGAAUGCUGCAUGGCUCACACACCGGGAAGCACUUGGUAAAUGGAGGGUCCUCAAUACCUGCUGGACUGAACCAACUCACUUCAAUGACGUGGGACCAAUGAACCCGAAGCACAGGAAAUUAAUAAAACCAAAAACAAGCCAAUGGGGGGAAGGCCUUCUUACUACU